AAGCAAUUUGCUCAUAGCCAUAGCUUUCUUGUGAAAGUAGGAUAUUAACCCAGGUGUCUUGGUGCUGGAGAACAGAACUGGCCAGAGUCCAUCCUGUCUCCCACCGGCAUCCCAUUACGAAAUGAACACAGAAAAGGCAGGUCUGCAAUGCCAACAUCUAGUAUCUAUCCCAAAGACCAGGGAGAAAGGAAGGAAAGAUUCUGGUUCUGUCCUCUUCCCCAAGGCAAGGCUGGCUGCCCUACCAACAGAGGCAAAGAGAAGAGUGUGCAAGGCUGGCUGCCCUCCCAACAGAGGCAAAGAGGAGUGUGUGUUGAAAUAUCCAUUGAAUCCCUGAGACAACUGGAUCCUGGCCCAUUGAAUCAUAAACUCAAAUCUCACAUCAUAACCCCAAAUGACCUGUUACUCACCAUGUGGCCCAGCUGUCUUCAAACUCACCAGCCUCCUGCCUUAGCCUUCUAAAUGCUUGGAUUACAGGCAUGACCCACCAUAACUGGCUUUGUUUUAGUUUCAGAGAAGAUGAAACUGAUGUGCGUCAAAAAGUAAACUACCCACAUUUUAACUGGGCACAUUCCUGUCAAUCUGAUGAGAAUCUAUUUCAUACCCUGCUUUAGCUGGUAGUCUGUCAAGGAAAUGAGCUGAACAUGUCUGUGUACAGCUUUUGUGCCAUCCCUGGAUGAGCGAGCUGUCUGCCUCUAUGUUCUCCACAAAAUGGAAUAUAGCUGUACACCCAAGCCAAGUUAUGGAGGCUGGGAAGACCUAGAAUGUGGCAUCACUAUUUGGAAACCAUGCCGAUUACCGACCGAGCUCUCAAUGGAAAAAUGCAGUCGGCGUGAACCACGCACGAACACAGCAGAGAAAGAAGAAAACACACACCACGAGGAACCCUAAUAGGACAAUACAUUAUAAGUCACAGUGCUACGGAGAAACCCAGUAGCCACAUGGAAGCAGAGACCAUGCAUAUGCAUCUACUCCGCAGCUCUGUGAAUGUCAGCAGCUCCCACGGACUGGAGAUCCCGUGAGAUCCCGUGAGAUCUCACCCAUAGCCUCAUGGUACAUCCACUUGGUGUGCUGGGAGAGUCAGGAUGAGGACCUGAGAAGAACAGCAGCUUGAACCUGACUUCAUUUAACAGCCCACUGCCCUCUUGCCAAGAACCCAUCACAGACCUUCCCAGAAGAGAGGGAUGAGCCUCACCUAUGAAUAAGUCCUCAGAAACUCAAAUUUGAUUCUAAUGGAUUGUUUUCUCAGAAAGACUGAGCAUGUCCCCCCACAUCUCUGUCAUUUCCCACAGUAGUAACCUCUGCAGAUGCCACAUAGAAAACAAAACAAAACAAAAAAACAUGAGGUUGGUGGGCAGAUAGGCAGGGUAUAAACAAACAGCCUUGUAACCCAGAAGCUGUGUGAUAUACAGUAAACUUCACAACACUGAAAAGAUGUCCUAUCUGUUAAAAUGGGGUAAUAACAACUACCCGAAUGUUUAGGAAUAGAACUUCAAUAAAUGAUACAUUUUAUAGUACAGCAGACCAUCCUGUAAAGGUUUCAUCCUUCACUGUGGUGAUAAAUAUCCCAAACCACAUUGAAAAGCAUUGCAUCUACAUUUAUCUACACUGUAACUGUACUGUAAAUCAUGGGGGAGGGGAGAAUCAUAAAAACACCACCUGUCACCGUGUCAUUAAAGCAAGUUGGAAGUGAUACUUACAGAAACACAGCAAGAGCACCCCCAGUCACACAGUUCAAUCUCUUAGCAAGCGUUUUCUUUCUAGCCCAGUGGUUCUCAGUUUGGAAUUUUUGGCACUGCCUAGAGAUAGUUUUGUUGUUAAAACUGAGAAAAGAGCCGGGCGUGGUGGCACACGCCUUUAAUCCCAGCACUCAGGAGGCAGAGGCAGG
rnacentral:lncRNA from 1 species